UACGGAGGAUCCAAGCGUUAUCCGGAAUCAUUGGGUUUAAAGGGUCCGUAGGCGGCCCUGUAAGUCAGUUGUGAAGUCUCCCGGCUCAACCGGGAAAUUGCCAUUGAUACUGCAGGGCUUGAAUUAUCGGGAGGCAACUAGAAUAUGUAGUGUAGCGGUGAAAUGCUUAGAUAUUACAUGGAAUACCGAUUGCGAAGGCAGGUUGCUGCGGGUGGAUUGACGCUGAGGCACGAAAGCGUGGGGAGCAAACAGG
rnacentral:rRNA from 1 species